GUCCACUCAGCGGCGGACCAGAGCCAGAAGCCUGCCAAGACCAUGGCUGUAGCCGGCCGAAAUGGCGUCGUUAUCACGGCCAGGCCGGCUGC
rnacentral:sRNA from 1 species